rnacentral:lncRNA from 1 species
GUCCAUGGAGAUUUCAAAAAGUUAUUUUCAUAGCUAGUUGUGAAAGAUAAAUUUUUUUUUUCUUCUUUUUAAAAAAAAUAAAAAUUAGGAGAGCUUAUCGAUGUAUGGUAUGAAUUAGUCCUAGACUACAUGCCACAAAACUGACUUACAUUAAUCAAUGGAAAUGUGCCCCCAUUCCCACUAUUUUCCCUUCCCUAGUAUUGGGGC